CCCCGUCGCACGCUCUCACUGUGCCUGUAUUUUGACCCAGAUCCCCUCGCUGGGGAUGUGCCCGUUCACCACGAACAGCAUGUAGUACCCCGGUGGCGCCAGCACCGCUGUCGCCGGCAUCGUCACCGACGCGCUGAACGCGCCGGCUCGGCCGCGCACCGCCACGUUCUUGGUCACGUCAAGGAACAGCAGCCGCUGGUUCAUCGCGAACGAGUGCGUCGUGAAGGACGGCGCCACCAUCGUCACCGACACGUCACCGAGGCCGCCGGCGCGGCCGCCACGCCUUCUCCGCGCCAAUGCCGGGACCAAGAACCGGAUCGCCAUCGUCGCCCCGUAGCCCACGCUCGCGGGCGCGCCGGUGGGGGACGGGUCGAGGAUCCUCGGCCGCAGCAUGUCGUUGGACGCGUCGAGGUACUCCGGCGAGAAGGCCUCCAGGCUGAGGUCGGUGGGGAACUGCACGUUGCUGAAGUUGUAGUAGGUGUGCGGGUUGCUGCCGCCCACCAGCAGGCGGCCGUCCCGGAGGAGCACCGCCGAGGAGUGGUACAGCCGCGCGACGCCCGCCGCGUUCUGCUCCUCGAACCGGUCCCCCGGCGAGUGGUCCGGGCGGUAGACGACGGGCGCGUACGCCGGGGUCUUGGCGGACUCCCACCCGGCGGUGCCGUCCGCGGCGCCGUUGAUGAUGGCCACCUCCGCGCCGUUGGGCAGAAGGACCAUGUCGCCCAUCACCCGCGGCGACGGCAUUGUCUCGAUGACCCACGCCGGCGCGGCGUCGGUGAUCUUGAUCCGCCCGCACGUCGUCAGCGCCGGGACGAAAGCGCCGGCGGUGCCGCCCUGCUGCUGCUUGGUGGAGUUGUAGGAGCCCGCUGGCGCGCCGCCGCAGACCAGCACCUCGGCCUCGGUGGGGUUGGGCUUCAGCGGGAGCAGCACCGAGGAGCCCGAGCUGGGGUAGUUCCGCGGGUCGCCGUCGCCCAGCACGGGGUACGUCCGCACGAUCUUGUUGCUGCUGUAGUCCAAGAGGACGGCGCGGUUGUUGGAGAAGAUGAAAAGGUUGCCGUCUAUGUUGAGGUGCACGAACGGAUAAAGGUUGUUCUCCUCGGGGUCCCUCGUCUGCACCAGAAAUGGCAUCGGGAUGACGGACGUAUCCGAAGGGCCCGCCUUUGGGUAGAACUCGUAGCUGAACUGCCUCCGGCCGCCGAUGAUGAACGCGCGGCCGUCGGGGAGGAUCUGGUUGGUGGCGUACCACCGGUUGGCCGAGAGCGCGUCCUGCGUCUCGGACCAGUCGCAGCUCUCGUCGCCGUCGCUGCACGCGGGCAUGGUGCGCGCGUUGCGGAACCCGUCGUUCCAGCCGCCGGUCUGGACGAGCGUGCCGUCGGGCGCGACGGUGCCCGAGGAGCACCAGGUGUCGGUGAAGACGAAGAGCGGGCGGAACGCGUUGGCGGCGACGUCGUACUCGACGGAGUGCGCGGUGCAGUCCCCCUGAGGGAGCACGCGCUCCCGCGGGUUGACGCGGCAGCGUCCGUCGGGGAGGGAGAGGUUGGAGUGGCCGAAGUCGGUGCGGUCGAAGAUGAUGACGCGGUCGUUGUGCAGGAGCUGCAUGUGCAUCGCCGACACCCCGAUGCUGCGCUGCUGGAGGUCCCACCUCCCGCCGGCGCCGCUCGCGGGCGCAAUGCCGGCGCAGGCGCAGGCGAGGAGCAGGAGAAGAACGGCGAGGUGGCGACGGGCACGGUUCUUCUUCUUGGCUGCCAAUGCAAUCUCCAUGGUUGAUCGAUCGAUGGGACAGGCACAGGCUUGUAGACGUAACGAUGUUGCGUCGUCGUUUCAGGGACAGGUUUUCUUUGAUUCCGUUUUCUUGGUUAAGUGGGGGUGUUUAGCUCGUUGAGCGGCGAAGUGUAUAUAUAUGCGGCAGUGCCCAAGCUUCGACCACCAUUUUUGCUCCCUGAUUUUUCACACGAUAUCAUUUAAACACUCCAGCUAGCUGGCGCCUUUACAAUGGAAUUUCGUUCCGCUCGAGUGAGCUUUGGCCAGUUUUUGGGUAUGUAUUCAUGAGUCGACGAGCACAACAACCAGACCGGCAAUUUGGCGCACGUACACGUUCGAUCGAUCCCGUGCGUCGUUCGAUCCCGUUUCGUGUACUUACUUCCCUGCUGACCCAUACAAGACCAGGAAGGAGCACGGCAUGAUGUGGUUGCUGCCUUAUCCACCAUGUUGGCUUGUCCCUCCGGCCCGCAGC
rnacentral:misc_RNA from 1 species